AUGAAAGUGUGGGUGUUUGUGUGUGUAUUUUCUACAUGGUAUCAAGGAGAAGAUACAAUAAACCACAAUUAACAUAAAUCAAGGAAUGCAUGUGUUGAUCAAAGGUUGAAAUCAGUGAUUUCUAGUGUUAUCCUGCAAGAAUCCAUCAAGAUUCGGAUGGUAGAAUGGCAAAAGUGAUCAAGUCUUGGAAACGGGUCCGCGUAGGAGGAUUUAGUGAUGUUUUGUUCACUAAGUAUAUGAGUUUUCUUAUCGAGUCAAUUAGACUUAAUUAUUUGUAUUUUGGAGUUUAAGUCCAAUGUUUGUUUUAGCGAAAUGUUAGUAUGUCAUUGUGGUAAUGUGUUAUGUUUGUUUUAUAAAAACCUUUGUCAUUAAGCAGGUUUUGUUUUCAUAAGGGUUGACCGUUUUGUAAACGGGUCAUGGCGAUUUUUUUAAACGGGUGUUUGCAGAUUUGUAAUUAACUCGGUUUAUGUGGAUUAAUAUAUUUUGGGAAUAAGAUCCUUUAUUAUGUAAUGUUCGAUAAGAAAAAAAAAUUG
rnacentral:lncRNA from 1 species